ACGGGUGCUGGGCAACCAUAUGGGGUCCCUGGUAUAACCCUAGGGUGUCCCUGGUCUAUUCUCUGCCCAGAGAUGCCCCCAGAUGGUAGAGGCACUCUGUCCCCGUGCCUAAAACUGUCUGUCCUUGAAAAGGCCCUUACCACAAAGAUUGGCCCAAAUAGAUGCCCGGGUCAUUUAAUGCGCUCGAUAAAUACUGCUGUUAUAUUCUGG